UACAGAGGGUGCGAGCGUUAAUCGGAAUUACUGGGCGUAAAGCGUGCGUAGACGGUUAUUUAAGUCGGGUGUGAAAGCCCCGGGCUCAACCUGGGAACUGCGCUCGAAACUGUGGGUCUCGAGUGUCGGAGAGGAUGGCGGAAUUCCUAGGUGUGAGAGGUGAAAUUCGUAGAUAUCAGGAGGAACACCGGUGGCGAAGGGCGGCCAUCUGGACGACAACUGACGCUGAGAUGCGAAAGCGUGGGGAGCAAACAGG
rnacentral:rRNA from 1 species